CCUACGGGUGGCAGCAGUGGGGAAUAUUGCACAAUGGGGGAAACCCUGAUGCAGCAACGCCGCGUGAGUGAAGAAGUAUUUCGGUAUGUAAAGCUCUAUCAGCAGGGAAGAAGAUGACGGUACCUGAGUAAGAAGCCCCGGCUAACUACGUGCCAGCAGCCGCGGUAAUACGUAGGGGGCAAGCGUUAUCCGGAUUUACUGGGUGUAAAGGGUGCGUAGGCGGGCAUUUAAGCCGGCGGUCAAAUGUCGGGGCUCAACCCCGGCCUGCCGUCGGAACUGGGUGCCUUGAGUGGGCGAGAAGGAUGCGGAAUGCGUGGUGUAGCGGUGAAAUGCAUAGAUAUCACGCAGAACCCCGAUUGCGAAGGCAGCAUACCGGCGCGCUACUGACGCUGAGGCACGAAAGUGCGGGUAUCGAACAGGAUUAGAUACCCCGGUAGUC
rnacentral:rRNA from 1 species